rnacentral:rRNA from 1 species
CGUAACAAGGUCUCCGUUGGUGAACCAGCGGAGGGAUCAUUACCGAGUUUACAACUCCCAAACCCCUGUGAACAUACCACUUGUUGCCUCGGCGGAUCAGCCCGCUCCCGGUAAAACGGGACGGCCCGCCAGAGGACCCCUAAACUCUGUUUCUAUAUGUAACUUCUGAGUAAAACCAUAAAUAAAUCAAAACUUUCAACAACGGAUCUCUUGGUUCUGGCAUCGAUGAAGAACGCAGCAAAAUGCGAUAAGUAAUGUGAAUUGCAGAAUUCAGUGAAUCAUCGAAUCUUUGAACGCACAUUGCGCCCGCCAGUAUUCUGGCGGGCAUGCCUGUUCGAGCGUCAUUUCAACCCUCAAGCACAGCUUGGUGUUGGGACUCGCGUUAAUUCGCGUUCCUCAAAUUGAUUGGCGGUCACGUCGAGCUUCCAUAGCGUAGUAGUAAAACCCUCGUUACUGGUAAUCGUCGCGGCCACGCCGUUAAACCCCAACUUCUGAAUGUUGACCUCGGAUCAGGUAGGAAUACCCGCUGAACUUAUGCAUAUCAAUAAGCCGGA